GGAAAGACCCCGUGAACCUUUACUAUAGCUUGACACUGAACAUUGAGCCUUGAUGUGUAGGAUAGGUGGGAGGCUUUGAAGUGUGGACGCCAGUCUGCAUGGAGCCGACCUUGAAAUACCACCCUUUAAUGUUUGAUGUUCUAACGUGGAUCCGUGAUCCGGGUUGCGGACAGUGUCUGGUGGGUAGUUUGACUGGGGCGGUCUCCUCCUAAAGAGUAACGGAGGAGCACGAAGGUUGGCUAAUCCUGGUCGGACAUCAGGAGGUUAGUGCAAUGGCAUAAGCCAGCUUGACUGCGAGCGUGACGGCGCGAGCAGGUGCGAAAGCAGGUCAUAGUGAUCCGGUGGUUCUGAAUGGAAGGGCCAUCGCUCAACGGAUAAAAGGUACUCCGGGGAUAACAGGCUGAUACCGCCCAAGAGUUCAUAUCGACGGCGGUGUUUGGCACCUCGAUGUCGGCUCAUCACAUCCUGGGGCUGAAGUAGGUCCCAAGGGUAUGGCUGUUCGCCAUUUAAAGUGGUACGCGAGCUGGGUUUAGAACGUCGUGAGACAGUUCGGUCCCUAUCUGCCGUGGGCGCUGGAGAACUGAGGGGGGCUGCUCCUAGUACGAGAGGACCGGAGUGGACGCAUCACUGGUGUUCGGGUUGUCAUGCCAAUGGCACUGCCCGGUAGCUAAAUGCGGAAGAGAUAAGUGCUGAAAGCAUCUAAGCACGAAACUUGCCCCGA
rnacentral:rRNA from 1 species